rnacentral:rRNA from 1 species
AUUGAACGCUGGCGGCAUGCCUUACACAUGCAAGUCGAACGGCAGCACGGGUGCUUGCACCUGGUGGCGAGUGGCGAACGGGUGAGUAAUAUAUCGGAACGUACCUUAUUGUGGGGGAUAACGCAGCGAAAGCUGUGCUAAUACCGCAUAAUCCCUAAGGGGGAAAGCGGGGGACCGUAAGGCCUCGCGCAAUUAGAGCGGCCGAUACCUGAUUAGCUAGUUGGUGAGGUAAAGGCUCACCAAGGCAACGAUCAGUAGCUGGUCUGAGAGGACGGUCAGCCACACUGGGACUGAGACACGGGCAGGACGCCUACGGGAGGCAGCAGUGGGGAAUUUUGGACAAGGGGGGUAACCCUGAUCCAUCAAUGCCGCGUGAGUGAAGAAGGCCUUCGCGUUGUAAAGCUCUUUUGUCAGGGAAGAAACAGCAGCUCUAACACAGUACGCGAAUGACGGUACCUGAAGAAUAAGCACCGGCUAACUACGUGCCAGCCGCCGCGGUAA